rnacentral:rRNA from 1 species
UACGGGGGGGGCAAGCGUUGUUCGGAAUUACUGGGCGUAAAGGGUUCGUAGGUGGCCAACUAAGUCAGACGUGAAAUCCCUCAGCUUAACUGGGGAACUGCGUCUGAGACUGGAUGGCUUGAGUGCAGGAGAGGAACGCGGAAUUCCCGGUGUAGCGGUGAAAUGUGUAGAGAUCGGGAGGAACACCGGUGGCGAAGGCGGUCUUCUGGACGGUGACUGACGCUGAGGCGCGAAAGCGUGGGGAGCAAACGGG